AUGCUCAAAAUUCUCCAAGCCAGGCUUCAGCAAUAUGUGAACCGUGAACUUCCUGAUGUUCAAGCUGGUUUGAGAAAAGACAGAGGAACCAGAGAUCAAAUUGCCAACAUCCACUGGAUCAUGGAAAAAGCAAGAGAGUUCCAGAAAAACAUCUAUUUCUGCUUUAUUGACUAUGCCAAAGCCUUUGACUGUGUGGAUCACAAUAAAGUGUGGAAAAUUCUGAAAGAGAUGGGAAUACCAGACCAUCUGAUCUGCCUCUUGAGAAAUCGGUAUGCAGGUCAGGAAGCAAAAGUUAGAACUGGAUAUGGAACAAUGGACUGGUUCCAAAUAGGAAAAGGAGUACGUCAAGGCUGUAUAUUGUCACCCUGCUUAUUUAACUUCUAUGCAGAGUACAUCAUGAGAAACGCUGGACUGGAAGAAACACAAGCUGGAAUCAAGAUUGCCGGGAGAAAUAUCAAUCACCUCAGAUAUGCAGAAGACACCACCCUUAUGGCAGAAAGUGAAGAGGAGCUAAAAAGCCUCUUGAUGAAAGUGAAAGAGGAGAGCGAAAAAGUUGGCUUAAAGCUCAACAUUCAGAAAACGAAGAUCAUGGUAUCUGGUCCCAUCACUUCAUGGGAAAUAGAUGGGGAAACAGUAGAAACAGUGUCAGACUUUAUUUUUUUGGCCUCCAACAUCACUGCAGAUGGUGACUGCAGCCAUGAAAUUAAAAGACGCUUACUCCUUGGAAGAAAAGUUAUGACCAACCUAGACAGUAUAUUCAAAAGCAGAGACAUUGCUUUGCCGACUAAGGUCCAUCUAGUCAAGGCUAUGGUUUUUCCUGUGGUCAUGUAUGGAUGUGAGAGUUGGACUGUGAAGAAGGCUGAGUGCCAGAGAAUUGAUGCUUUUGAACUGUGGUGUUGGAGAAGAUUCUUGAGAGUCCCUUGGACUGCAAGGAGAUCCAACCAGUCCGUUCCAAGGGAGAUUAGCCCUGGGAUUUCUUUGGAAGGAAUGAUGCUGAAGCUGAAACUCCAGUACUUUGGCCACCUCAUGUGA
rnacentral:lncRNA from 1 species